rnacentral:rRNA from 1 species
ACGACGCUGGCGGCGUGCUUAACACAUGCAAGUCGAACGAAGCAGCAGUGAAGGAGGCUUCGGCCAAUGGAUCUGUUGACUUAGUGGCGGACGGGUGAGUAACGCGUGAGCAACCUGCCUUUCAGAGGGGGAUAACGUUUGGAAACGAACGCUAAUACCGCAUGAUGUAUCUUUGCUGCAUGACAGAGGUACCAAAGGAGCAAUCCGCUGAAAGAUGGGCUCGCGUCCGAUUAGAUAGUUGGUGGGGUAACGGCCUACCCAAGUCGACGAUCGGUAGCCGGACUGAGAGGUUGAACGGCCACAUUGGGACUGAGACACGGCCCAGACUCCUACGGGAGGCAGCAGUGGGGAAUAUUGCACAAUGGGCGAAAGCCUGAUGCAGCAACGCCGCGUGAGGGAAGACGGUUUUCGGAUUGUAAACCUUUGUCCUUGGUGAAGAUAGUGACGGUAGCCGAGGAAGGAAGCCACGGCUAACUACGUGCCAGCCGCGGC